rnacentral:rRNA from 1 species
AGAGUUUGAUCAUGGCUCAGGCUAAACGCUGGCGGUAUAAGUAACAUAUGCAAGUUUAACGCUCCCUUCACCAGAUGAGGGGCGGACGGGUGAGUAACGCGUGAGAAUCUGCCUUCAGGACUGGGACAACCACUGGAAACGGUGGCUAAUACCAGAUAUGCAGUGAGUGAAAAGGUUUAUUCCGCCUGAAGAUGAGCUCGCGUCAGAUUAGCUAGUUGGUGAGGUAACGGCUUACCAAGGCAUCGAUCUGUAGCUGGUCUGAGAGGAUGACCAGCCACACUGGGACUGAGAGACGGCCCAGACUCCUACGGGAGGCAGCAGUGAGGAAUUUUCCGCAAUGGGCGCAAGCCUGACGGAGUAAUACCGCGUGCGGGAGGAAGGUCUAUUGACUGUAAACCGCUUUUAUUAAGAAAGAAUUCUGACGGUACUUAAUGAAUAAGCCUCGGCUAACUCCGUGCCAGCAGCCGCGGUAAUACGGAGGAGGCAAGCGUUAUCCGGAAUUAUUGGGCGUAAAGCGUCCGUAGGUGGUUUUGCAAGUCGGCUGUCAAAGCCCGUGGCUCAACCACGGAAAGGCAGUGGAAACUAUAAAACUGGAGUGCAGUAGGGGCAGAGGGAAUUCCCAGUGUAGCGGUGAAAUGCGUAGAGAUUGGGAAG